GUCAACGACAACAACAGGGGGACACAAAAUGGCGGCGGCUUAGCUCCUACCCCUGGCGGCGGCGGCAGCGGUGGCGGAGGCGACGGCACCUCCUCCAGGCGGCAGCCGCGGCUUCUUUCUCAGGCAGCGGCAGCGCCCCCAGCAGGUGCGGUGGCGGUGGCGCGCGGCCAGAUUUGCCUGAAGAUCUGGACAAUCUUCUUUUUUGUCAUGGACUGUUAAAACACUUGGAGUUCCAAUUCUGGUCUUGAUUUCCUGGUUAAAGAUGUUCUUCACCCGAAUGCAGUUUUUCCUGUUGGUCAAAUAAGACAACUAUCAACAUUGCCU